rnacentral:rRNA from 1 species
UACGGGGGGGGCAAGCGUGUUCGGAAUUACUGGGCGUAAAGGGCUCGUAGGCGGCCAACUAAGUCGGAUGUGAAAUCCCCAGGCUCAACUUGGGAACUGCAUCCGAUACUGGAUGGCUUGAAUCCGGGAGAGGGAUGCAGAAUUCCAGGUGUAGCGGUGAAAUGCGUAGAUAUCUGGAGGAAUACCGGUGGCGAAGGCGGCAUCCUGGACCGGCAUUGACGCUGAUGAGCGAAAAGCGUGGGGGAGCGAACAGG